rnacentral:rRNA from 1 species
CCUACGGGUGGCAGCAGUGAGGAAUAUUGGUCAAUGGCCGCAGGGCUGAACCAGCCAAGUCGCGUGAGGGAUGACGGUCCUAUGGAUUGUAAACCUCUUUUGUCAGGGAGCAAAGGGCGCCACGUGUGGCGUUUUGCGAGUACCUGAAGAAAAAGCAUCGGCUAACUCCGUGCCAGCAGCCGCGGUAAUACGGAGGAUGCGAGCGUUAUCCGGAUUUAUUGGGUUUAAAGGGUGCGUAGGCGGGUUAUCAAGUCAGCGGUAAAAUCGUGGAGCUCAACUCCAUCCAGCCGUUGAAACUGAUGAUCUUGAGUGGGCGAGAAGUAUGCGGAAUGCGUGGUGUAGCGGUGAAAUGCAUAGAUAUCACGCAGAACUCCGAUUGCGAAGGCAGCAUACCGGCGCCCGACUGACGCUGAAGCACGAAAGCGUGGGUAUCGAACAGGAUUAGAUACCCUUGUAGUC